UACGUAGGAGGCAAGCGUUGUUCGGAUUUAUUGGGCGUAAAGCGCGUGUAGGCGGUCUUCUAAGUCUGAUGUGAAAGCCCUGGGCUCAACCCAGGAAGUGCAUUGGAUACUGGAAGACUUGAAUACGGGAGAGGGUAGUGGAAUUCCUAGUGUAGGAGUGAAAUCCGUAGAUAUUAGGAGGAACACCGGUGGCGAAGGCGGCUACCUGGACCGAUAUUGACGCUGAGACGCGAAAGCGUGGGGAGCAAACAGG
rnacentral:rRNA from 1 species